UACGUAGGGACCAAGCGUUGUUCGGAUUUAUUGGGCGUAAAGGGUGCGUAGGCGGUUCGGUAAGUUUCGUGUGAAAUCUUCGGGCUCAACUCGAAGCCUGCACGAGAUACUGCCGGGCUUGAGUGUGGGAGAGGUGAGUGGAAUUUCCGGUGUAGCGGUGAAAUGCGUAGAUAUCGGAAGGAACACCUGUGGCGAAAGCGGCUCACUGGACCACAACUGACGCUGAGGCACGAAAGCUAGGGGAGCAAACAGG
rnacentral:rRNA from 1 species